AUAGUUCAGUUGAUUAGAACGUCCGACUAUGAACCGGGCGGUCGUGGGUUCGAACCCUGCU
rnacentral:tRNA from 1 species